ACAAAGCCGUUACAGGAAGUGACUUUGUCAUUACUAGAGUUGCAUUUUGAGACAACUCUUCAAAGUACUACAUAAAUGACCGUGGAAGUAAUUUUACAGAGGUCACUAAGAAAUUGAAAGGAAAAGGAGUGGACUUGGACAACAAUCGGUUUUUGAUUCUUCAAGGUUAAGUCGAGCAAAUUUCUCUAAUGAAGCCAAAGAUUUGUAUUUUCAGCAUUAUUGUAAUUGUAAUUGUAAUUGAUUGAAUGAAGGAUUGUAAUUGAUUGUAAUUGUAAUUGAUUGAAUGAAGGAUUGUAAUUGAUUGUAAUUAAAUGAAUGAAUGAUUGUAAUUGAUUGUAAUUGAAUGAAUGAAUGAUUAUGCAGGUGGUAA